rnacentral:rRNA from 1 species
UACAGAGGGGGCGAGCGUUGUUCGGAAUUACUGGGCGUAAAGGGCGCGUAGGCGGCCCGCUAAGUCGAACGUGAAAUCCCCAGGCUCAACCUGGGAACUGCGUCCGAUACUGGCAGGCUUGAAUCCGGGAGAGGGAUGUGGAAUUCCAGGUGUAGCGGUGAAAUGCGUAGAUAUCUGGAGGAACACCGGUGGCGAAGGCGGCGUCCUGGACCAACACUGACACUGAAAAGCGAAAGCCAGGGGAGCAAACGGG